CCUACGGGUGGCAGCAGUGGGGAAUAUUGGACAAUGGGGGCAACCCUGAUCCAGCUAUGCCGCGUGUGUGAAGAAGGCCCUCGGGUUGUAAAGCACUUUCAGUGAGGAAGAACGCCUGGUGGUUAAUACCCAUCAGGAAAGACAUCACUCACAGAAGAAGCACCGGCUAACUCCGUGCCAGCAGCCGCGGUAAUACGGAGGGUGCGAGCGUUAAUCGGAAUUACUGGGCGUAAAGCGCGCGUAGGUGGCUUGAUAAGCCGGUUGUGAAAGCCCCGGGCUCAACCUGGGAACGGCAUCCGGAACUGUCAAGCUAGAGUGCAGGAGAGGAAGGUAGAAUUCCCGGUGUAGCGGUGAAAUGCGUAGAGAUCGGGAGGAAUACCAGUGGCGAAGGCGGCCUUCUGGACUGACACUGACACUGAGGUGCGAAAGCGUGGGUAGCAAACAGGAUUAGAUACCCCUGUAGUC
rnacentral:rRNA from 1 species